AGGGUAGGCAGCUUGGCUGCCCUGCUAUGGCGUACGGCCUGAAAUGGGAAGGGGGCCAGGUCCUCCAUCUGUGUGACUCAUGAGCCAGUGCUCGGGAGCCCCACCUACCUCGGGUAGUCGGGGCCCCUGUCACCUGGCCUCCAGAUGUGGGCCUUCCUCCCUCCUCUGCGAGAGAAGGGGGCCCUAAGGCACUAGCAGGCAUCUGCCUUCUCUCCCAGCCUUCUGGAAGGCUCCGCUGCAGCCACUGGGGCGGGAGCAGGGAGAUGCUGGCCUCUGCCUUAGAGUCCCUGGAGCAUCAUGGCUCCCAGGUCGCCGGCAUCACCUCCACCCCGCAGGGACAACUGCGAGGGGAGCAGACCCGGACAAGCAGCCACUGUGCUGAACUGAGACACAUGCUCCAACCCUGCCACUCCAGCACCAGGAACACAUCCUGUGGCUGCCACCGCACACCAGAGAAAACAGCAGACUGAGAAGCUGCCUGAAAGGUGCCAACAACCCAACUGCACCUGAACAAAUAGUGGGGAGGCUCCACAGCCACUCGUUAGAGCUUGGGCGGCGAAAAACGACAGGAUCCCAGAGCCACAGCCGACGUCAAGAACGAUCUGGAGGAAGAGGGAGCCCGGAGAACAAGGCACUGGUGUGGUGACUGCGAACACACCAGAGUGUGCUGAGCGCCCUGCAGCGGCCUCCCCUCGACACGGGCCUGCGGCCCUCACAGCUGGUUUCUGAGAGCUGCCUGGGGAGCCCCGGGUGGGACUGGAGGCACCAUGAGGGGAUUUCUGUAGGUAGGACGCUAGGACCAUUGCACGCUCUUCAGCCAGAUUCAAGA